rnacentral:rRNA from 1 species
CCUACGGGAGGCAGCAGUAAGGAAUAUUGGUCAAUGGGGGCAACCCUGAACCAGCCAUGCCGCGUGCAGGAUGAAGGCCCUAUGGGUCGUAAACUGCUUUUAUACCGGAGAAAACCCCCGUACGUGUACGGGGUUGAUAGUAUGGUAAGAAUAAGCAUCGGCUAACUUCGUGCCAGCAGCCGCGGUAAGACGAAGGAUGCAAGCGUUAUCCGGAUUCAUUGGGUUUAAAGGGUGCGUAGGCGGACCUGUAAGUCAGUGGUGAAAUCUCUUUGCUUAACAAGAAACUGCCAUUGAUACUGCAAGUCUAGAGUAUAGAUGACGUUGGCGGAAUAUGACAUGUAGUGGUGAAAUACCUUAGAUAUGUCAUAGAACACCGAUUGCGAAGGCAGCUAACGAAACUAUAACUGACGCUGAGGCACGAAAGUUGCGGGGAUCAAACAGGAUUUAGAUACCCUGGUAGUCCGNACCGUUAAACGAUANAUACUCGUGUGUNAUAUANACGUCGAGACGACCGACGACGAACGACGAGUAAGUAAUACCACCGUACGGGUAGGUACGGACCGGCCGACGGUACGAACGACGAACGAAGUAGUAGACGNGAGAGACGACGACGACGACGACGACGGAGGGAGGAGG